GGGAAGAGAGGACAGAAGUAAAAAGAGAAAUUAGGACCAAUUUAAAUAAAGGAAACAGAUACCACAAAAUUAGCAGGCAAUGCACGGAGGAAACCUUAUUGAAAGUCAUCUAGACACUGAUGUGAGGAUAAAAGAAAACACCUAUUUAUAAAAUACCUGAGCACAAACUUUCUUUCCUUCAGAAAUACCAGCUCUAAGCAGAAGAGACAUUAAAAGCAAGCCUGUAGAGAAAGAAAAAGUAGCCCUCCUAAGUGAAAAAUAGGGAAGGAAAUCUCAGUGCGAUGGUGCUUCAUGCUGUCCAUUACUAGACGGCAGCCCUCAGCCGUUCAAGUGCCACAUACAACCCACUGAGCACUCAGUGUCUAUUCUUUAUUACACAACUGUGUUUCUAAUAAUAGCAAGGACGUGUGCAAGGGAGCCCAUAAUUUCUUAGCAAAACUAAUGCCAGUAAAUCAAAGAAAGGUUCUAAAGCAUACUUUAAUAGGUGGCUUACAUUUUUUUUAUUACAAUGCUACAUCAAGAGUCAAGCCAUGCAAUGCUUUACAGUUUAAGAUUUCAAAGUACU